CACGUAGGGUGCGAGCGUUGUCCGGAAUUAUUGGGCGUAAAGAGCUCGUAGGCGGUGUGUCGCGUCGGCCGUGAAAACCUGCAGCUUAACUGUGGGCUUGCGGUCGAUACGGGCAGACUAGAGUUCGGUAGGGGAGACUGGAAUUCCUGGUGUAGCGGUGAAAUGCGCAGAUAUCAGGAGGAACACCGGUGGCGAAGGCGGGUCUCUGGGCCGAAACUGACGCUGAGGAGCGAAAGCGUGGGGAGCAAACAGG
rnacentral:rRNA from 1 species